rnacentral:rRNA from 1 species
UACGUAGGGUGCAAGCGUUGUCCGGAAUUAUUGGGCGUAAAGAGCUCGUAGGCGGUUUGUCGCGUCUGCUGUGAAAACCCGAGGCUCAACCUCGGGCCUGCAGUGGGUACGGGCAGACUAGAGUGCGGUAGGGGAGAUUGGAAUUCCUGGUGUAGCGGUGGAAUGCGCAGAUAUCAGGAGGAACACCGGUGGCGAAGGCGGUUCUCUGGGAAUGUCCUGACGCUGAGGAGCGAAAGGUGUGGGGAGCAAAACAGG